rnacentral:rRNA from 1 species
GGUAAAGCUCGUAGUUGGAUUUCUUCUGACAACUACCGGUCCAUACCACGUAUGCGCAUCUGGUUAGGUGUCGGAAUCCUCUCGAUAGACGUUUCUGCGCUUGAUUGCGUGGUGCGGAUCUCGGGACUUUUACUUUGAGGAAAUUAGAGUGUUCACGGCAGGCUGUCGCCAGAAUACAUUAGCAUGGAAUAAUAUUAUAGGAUCUCGGUUCUAUUUUGUUGGUUUCUAGAAUUGGGAUAAUGAUUAAUAGGGACAAUUGGGGGCAUUCGUAUCAACACGUCAGAGGUGGAAUUCUUGGAUUGUGUUGCGACGAACUACUGCGAAAGCAUUUGCCAAGGAUGUUUUCAUUGAUCAAGAACGAAAGUAAGGGGAUCGAAGACGAUUAGAUACCGUCGUAGUCUUUACCAUAAACUAUGCCAACUAGAGAUGGGGCAUCGUUCACUUACGACUUGCUCCGCACCUUAUGAGAUAUCAAAGUCUUUGGGUUCCGGGGGGAGUAUGGUCGCAAGUCUGAAACUUAAAGGAAUUGACGGAAGGGCACCACCAGGAGUGGAGCCUGCGGCUUAAUUUGACUCAACACGGGGAAACUCACCAGGUCCAGACAUAAUAAGGAUUGACAGAUUGAUAGCUCUUUCUUGAUUUUAUGGGUGGUGGUGCAUGGCCGUUCUUAGUUCGUGGAGUGAUUUGUCUGCUUAAUUGCGUUAACGAACGAGACCUUAACCUGCUAAAUAGAAGUGCAUAUCUCCGGAUAAGCGCCUUUCU